UGCGUAACAGCUCACUAGUCGAGGAGUUUGGCGUGGAUAAUAAUCGGGCAUUAAGCAAUUUACCGAAGCUAUGGGAUGUUAACUAAACACUAACAUCGGUAGGGGAGCAUUCCACUCUGCGUCGAAGGUGAAGCGUGAGCUUUGCUGGAGCGUGUGGAAAAGCAAAUGUAGGUAUAAGUAACGAUAAAGGGGGUGAGAAACCCCCUCGCCGAAAGACUAAGGUUUCCUGAUCAACGCUNGGAAGGAGUAGACGCGAAACCAAGUGAUCUACCCUUGGUCAGGUUGAAGGUUAGGUAACACUAACUGGAGGACCGAACCGAUAAGCGUUGAAAAGCUUCCGGAUGAACUGAGGGUGGGGGUGAAAGGCUAAUCAAACUUGGAGAUAGCUCGUACUCCCCGAAAUGCAUUUAGGUGCAGCCUUGGGAAUUACUACUGUGAGGUAGAGCGACUGAUAAGAUGCGAGGGCUUCACCGCCUAUCAAGUCUUGAUAAACUCCGAAUGCGCAGUAGUUCGAUCCCAGGAGUGAGGGCAUGGGUGCUAAGGUCCAUGUCCUAAAGGAGAAGAAUCCAGACCAUCAGCUAAGGUCCCGAAAUAAUUGCUAAGUUGAACUAACGAAGUCAGAUUGCUAAGACAGCUAGGAUGUUGGCUUGGAAGCAGCCAUUCAUUUAAAGAGUGCGUAACAGCUCACUAGUCGAGGAGUUUGGCGUGGAUAAUAAUCGGGCAUUAAGCAAUUUACCGAAGCUAUGGGAUGUUAACUAAACACUAACAUCGGUAGGGGAGCAUUCCACUCUGCGUCGAAGGUGAAGCGUGAGCUUUGCUGGAGCGUGUGGAAAAGCAAAUGUAGGUAUAAGUAACGAUAAAGGGGGUGAGAAACCCCCUCGCCGAAAGACUAAGGUUUCCUGAUCAACGCUAAUCGGAUCAGGGUUAGUCGGGUCCUAAGGCUCAGCCGAACGGUGAGGCCGAUGGCAGAACAGGUUAAUAUUCCUGUACUACCUUAAGGAGUGACGUGGAGACGGAGGAGUGACAACGCCGCGGACUGACGGAAUAGUCCGUUGAAGGGUGUAGAUGUUGAUUAUCCCAGGCAAAUCCGGGAUAAGAGUCGAACCUGAUAGUAUACCAAAUUCUUCGGAAUAAGGUAAUAGUGCGUGUAAGCAUACUCCCAAGAAAAUCCGCUAAACUUAAUCUUUAAGGUACCCGUACCGCAAACGGACACACGUAGUCGGGUUGAAUAUACUAAGGCGCUUGAGUGAUUCACGGUUAAGGAACUAGGCAAAUUGACCCUGUAACUUCGGGAUAAAGGGUCCCAACGAGAGUUGGGCGCAGAGAAUAGGUCCAGGCAACUGUUUAACAAAAACACAGGGCUGUGCUAAAUUGAAAGAUUACGUAUACAGCCUGACACCUGCCCGGUGCUGGAAGGUUAAGAGGAGAUGUCAUCGCAAGAGAAGCAUUGAAUUGAAGCCCCAGUAAACGGCGGCCGUAACUAUAACGGUCCUAAGGUAGCGAAAUUCCUUGUCGGGUAAGUUCCGACCUGCACGAAUGGUGUAAUGAUCUGGACACUGUCUCAACCGUGAGCUCAGUGAAAUUGUAGUAUCGGUGAAGAUGCCGAUUACCCGCGAUGGGACGAAAAGACCCCGUGAACCUUUACUAUAGCUUAACAUUGAAUUUGGGUAAUUGAUGUGUAGGAUAGGCCGGAGACUUUGAAGCAGGUACGCCAGUAUUUGUGGAGUCGCUGUUGAAAUACGGCCCUUUGAUUAUUUGAGUUCUAACUCGUAGAUACGAGGACACUGUUUGGUGGGUAGUUUGACUGGGGUGGUCGCCUCCAAAAGUGUAACGGAGGCUUCUAAAGGUGCCCUCAGGACGAUUGGUAACCGUCCGUAGAGUGUAAUGGCAUAAGGGCGCUUGACUGGGAGACAGACAAGUCGAUCAGGUAGGAAACUAGAGCAUAGUGAUCCGGUGUUUCCGUAUGGAAGGGACAUCGCUCAAAGGAUAAAAGGUACUCCGGGGAUAACAGGCUGAUCCCUCCCAAGAGCUCAUAUCGACGGAGGGGUUUGGCACCUCGAUGUCGGCUCGUCACAUCCUGGGGCUGGAGAAGGUCCCAAGGGUUGGGCUGUUCGCCCAUUAAAGUGGCACGCGAGCUGGGUUCAGAACGUCGUGAGACAGUUCGGUCUCUAUCUAUCGUGGGCGUAUGAAAUUUGCGUGGCUCUGACACUAGUACGAGAGGACCGUGUUGGACUGACCGCUGGUUUACCAGUUGUGCCGCCAGGUGCAUUGCUGGGUAUCUAAGUCGGGAUUGGAUAAGUGCUGAAAGCAUCUAAGUACGAAGCCAGCCACAAGAUUAGAUUUCUUAGGGUCGUCAAAGACGAUGACGUUGAUAGGAUGCAGGUGUAAAGGUGGUAACAUCAAAGCCGAGCAUUACUAAUUGCCCGUUCACUUUCUUU
rnacentral:rRNA from 1 species